AUGGUACUUUGUCUGAUUUUUACCAUGAUUUUCUCAUCUAUUAUUUGUUUUUCUGUUUCUCGAAAAAAUCAUAUGGGUUUUGUAUUGUUUAGCUUCCAACCGACAAAAUUAAACGUACAUAAUCUAUAUGACAUCACAUGCCAUUUUUUAUUGCUUGUGAACACACGUUCAAUUAAACAAAAAUAUAGUUGGAAACAAAAAAUGGCAUUAAUUAGCUUUUAUUUUUUCUUUGUAUACUCAUGGCUGGGAUUUAAAGGUAAUAAAUAUUUUUUUAUUAAUUUAUACUGCAGCAAAGUCCAUACUAGCCUUCAAAACAUCAUUUAUGAUCUAUUACAUCCUAAGGGGCAAUAUUUAUACUAG
rnacentral:rRNA from 1 species